AUACGUAGGGGGCGAGCGUUGUCCGGAAUGAUUGGGCGUAAAGGGCGCGUAGGCGGCCCGGUAAGUCUGGAGUGAAAGUCCUGUUUUUAAGAUGGGAAUUGCUUGGAUACUGUCGGGCUUGAGUGCAGGAGAGGUAAGUGGAAUUCCCAGUGUAGCGGUGAAAUGCGUAGAGAUUGGGAGGAACACCAGUGGCGAAGGCGACUUACUGGACUGUAACUGACGCUGAGGCGCGAAAGUGUGGGGAGCAAACAGGAUUAGAUACCCUGGUAGUCCACACUGUAAACGAUGAAUGCUAGGUGUAGGGGGUAUCGACCCCUUCUGUGCCGCAGUCAACACAAUAAGCAUUCCGCCUGGGGAGUACGGCCGCAAGGUUGAAACUCAAAGGAAUUGACGGGG
rnacentral:rRNA from 1 species